UACAUACUCCCUCCGUUCGGAAUUACUCGUCCAAGAAAUGAAUGUAUCUAGAUGUAUUUUAGUUGUAGAUACAUCCAUUUUUGUGACAAGUAAUUCCGACCGGAGGGAGUAAUAC
rfam:Triticum aestivum genome assembly, contig: Triticum_aestivum_CS42_TGACv1_scaffold_438237_5DL